UGCCGCGUGUAUGAGAAGGCCUUCGGGUUGUAAAGUACUUUCAGUUGUGAGGAAGGCGUUGAAGUUAAUAGCUUCAGCGUUUGACGUUAGCAACAGAAGAAGCACCGGCUAACUCCGUGCC
rnacentral:rRNA from 1 species